rfam:Hordeum vulgare subsp. vulgare, WGS project CAJW01000000 data, contig: morex_contig_66536
GGUGUCCAGGUGUAGUUGGUCUAGCACGUCAGUUUUACACGCUGAAGAUCUCCGGUUGGAGCCCGGAUGACGCCU